GACGAACGCUGGCGGCGUGCCUAAUACAUGCAAGUCGAACGCAUUUUCUUUCACCGUAGCUUGCUACACCGAAAGAAAAUGAGUGGCGAACGGGUGAGUAACACGUGGGUAACCUGCCCAUCAGCGGGGGAUAACACUGGGAAACCGGUGCUAAUACCGCAUAAUUCCAUUUACCGCAUGGUAGAUGGAUGAAAGGCGCUUUUGCGUCACUGAUGGAUGGACCCGCGGUGCAUUAGCUAGUUGGUGGGGUAACGGCCUACCAAGGCUGCGAUGCAUAGCCGACCUGAGAGGGUGAUCGGCCACGCUGGGACUGGGACACGGCCCAGACUCCUACGGGAGGCAGCAGUAGGGAAUCUUCGGCAAUGGACACAAGUCUGACCGAGCAACGCCGCGUGAGUGAAGAAGGUUUUCGGAUCGUAAAACUCUGUUGUUAGAGAAGAACAAGGAUGAGAGUGGAAAGUUCAUUCCUUGACGGUAUCUAACCAGAAAGCCACGGCUAACUACGUG
rnacentral:rRNA from 1 species